rnacentral:piRNA from 1 species
GUUGGAAGUGGAAAGUUGGAAGACAGAA